rnacentral:rRNA from 1 species
UACAGAGGGGGCAAGCGUUGUUCGGAAUUAUUGGGCGUAAAGGGCUCGUAGGCGGUUUGUCGCGUCGGGAGUGAAAACCAGGUGCUUAACACCUGGCUUGCUUUCGAUACGGGCAGACUAGAGGUAUUCAGGGGAGAACGGAAUUCCUGGUGUAGCGGUGAAAUGCGCAGAUAUCAGGAGGAACACCGGUGGCGAAGGCGGUUCUCUGGGAAUGACCUGACGCUGAGGAGCGAAAGUGUGGGGAGCGAACAGG